rnacentral:tRNA from 1 species
GAGUCCAUAGCUUAGUGGUAGAGUAUUUGCUUAGCAUGCAUAAGGACUUGGAUUCA